GAAACAUCUAAGUACCCGGAGGAAGAGAAAACAAUAGUGAUUCCGAUAGUAGCGGCGAGCGAAAUCGGAUUAGCCCAAACCCAUUCUGUUACGGCAGGGGGGGGGUUGUAGGACUACAAUGUUCAAUGCUGGAUGAAUUAGAACAAGUUGGAAAGCUUGGCCAAAGAAGGUGACAGCCCUGUAUAGGUAAAGAAAGCAGCGAUAGUAGUAUCCUGAGUAGUGCGGGGCACGUGAAACCCUGUAUGAAUCCGGCGGGACCAUCCGCCAAGGCUAAAUACUCCUGAGAGACCGAUAGUGAACCAGUACCGUG
rnacentral:rRNA from 1 species